rnacentral:rRNA from 1 species
UACGAAGGGGGCUAGCGUUGUUCGGAAUUACUGGGCGUAAAGAGCACGUAGGCGGACUACUAAGUCAGGGGUGAAAUCCCGGGGCUCAACCCCGGAACUGCCUUUGAUACUGAUAGUCUCGAGUCCGGAAGAGGUGAGUGGAAUUCCGAGUGUAGAGGUGAAAUUCGUAGAUAUUCGGAGGAACACCAGUGGCGAAGGCGGCUCACUGGUCCGGUACUGACGCUGAGGUGCGAAAGCGUGGGGAGCAAACAGG